rnacentral:rRNA from 1 species
AUGACAAAUGGUUUGAUCCUGGCCAAGUGCGAUUGCGGGUGAAAGGCCUAAGACAUGCAAGUUGAACGGGUGUAUAACACUAGUAGCGAACGGGUGAGUAACGCGUGAAUAUCUACAUAUGAGUUCGGGAUAAAAUCCCGAAUAAAGUGCAUAAAUUUUUGCAUUAAAGGUUAAUAUAAUUGCUCAUAAAUGAAUUUGCGUAAGAUUAGGUAGUUGGUGUGGUAAAGGCACACCAAGCCGAUAAUCUUUAGCCAGUCUGAGAGGAGCUCUGGCCACACCGGAACUGAGACAAGGUCCGGCGAUCAUUAGGUCGCAGCAGUCGGGAAUUUUAGGCAAUGUGCGUAGGCAUGACCUAGCCUUUCACGUGGAGGACAAAAAGGCAUAAUGACCUUGAAGGCGGAACCGUCGUAAACUCCUUUUUCUUGUGACAGACACUGACAAAAUCAAGAGAAUAAGUCCUAGCUAAGAUCGGUGCCAGCAGCUGCGGUAAUACCGACAGGGCAAGCAAUGUACGGAAUGACUGGUGCGUAAAGCGCGUGUAGGUGGUUUUAUCAAAAUUUAAUUAUUCAAAGUGGCUCAACUAAAAAUGAAUAUUAGAUUUAAUAAAACUUUUGAGUGAGGGAGAGGAAAGUGGAAUUUCAGGAGUAAGGGUUAAAUCUGUUGAUAUCUGAAGGAACACCAAAGGCGAAGGCAACUUUCUGGCCCUAUACUGACACUGAGACGCGAAGCCGUCGGUAGCGAAAAGGAUUAGAUACCCUUGUAGUCGACGGAGUCAACGAUGGUAUCUAAAUUUCGAAAUUAUUGCGGAAUUUGAGCUAAGGCGUUAAGAUACCCGCCUGGGAACAACGGUGGCAACACUACAACCCAAAGGAAUAGAGAGUCGGAUAACCAAGCGGCGGAACAUGCGGUUUAAUUCGAUACUCCGCGUAGAACCUUACCAAUCCUUGUAUAAUUGGAACAAGUUCCGUUUUAUGAUGGAAUCUUAUGCUAAUUACAGGUAUUGCAUGGCUGUUGUCAGUCCGUGCUUUGAGGUGUCAGGUUAAUUCCUUGAACGGACGAAACCCCUCUUUCUUGUUCCUAACGUUAUAUACGUGGACUCUAGAAAGACUGCCGGUUAUACGCCGGAGGAAGGUGGGGAUGACGUCAAGUCAUCAUGGUCUAUAUGGAUUGGGCUACACGCGUGUUACAAUGAUUGUGACAAAGGGUAACGAUAAUGAAAGUUUGAGUGAAUCCUAAAAAGCAAUCCUAGUACAGAUUGUUGUCUGCAACUCGACAACAUGAAGAAGGAGUCGCUAGUAAUCGGGGGUAAGAACACCUCGGUGAAUUAGGCUCUAUCCGGUCUACUCACCGCCCAUCAAGGUUUGAAAGUUAGAUGGCCUGGAAAAUGUAUUAUACUAUAUGAUGAAAAUUUGACGACUAUUUUGUAGUUUUGGUUUUUGUCAUAUAAUCCACAUUUAAGGGUUGUUUGGUGAUUAAAUUUAAGUUGUAACAGUGGUAGCCGUAGAAGAAUCUGCGGCUGGAUUGAAAUUUUU